CRGMCUGUAGCGACCGGAUMUAUGAGSAGGUUUUUGAUCACCACCGCAUGUCGGGACGCUCCCAGCAUCCUCAGCUCAGAUUUUGGUCAACCGGGUGCGGUAACACACGGGAAACCGGCUUCCGUCCCACGCUCGAAAUAUUUCGUGAGGGGGACGACGAUUUGUGACGCCCAGGCAAACGUGCCCUCGGCCAAAAAGCUUGGGGCGCAACUUGCGUUCCAAGACUCGAUGGUUCACGGGAUUCUGCUAUUCACACCAAGUAUCUCAUUUCGCUACCUUCUUCAUCGAUGCCAGAGCCSACAUAUCCGUUGCCAAGAGUCCUUUUAGACUUUAUAUCGGAGCAUUACAUUCUCGCUCGCACCGUCUCCGGGAUAAGCGAACGAUGGCCGUUCAGUUUCUUGUUCCAUGACACUUUUCCUGGCGUGUUGUUGUGAUAUCCUUCCCUUACGCGCACGUCCGGUACGGGAGAGAUCUCCAGUUCCGAACGGCACACGAAACCNAG
rnacentral:misc_RNA from 1 species